AUUGAACGCUGGCGGCAUGCCUUACACAUGCAAGUCGAACGGCAGCACGGGUGCUUGCACCUGGUGGCGAGUGGCGAACGGGUGAGUAAUACAUCGGAACGUACCUUAUCGUGGGGGAUAACGCAGCGAAAGCUGUGCUAAUACCGCAUACGCCCUGAGGGGGAAAGCGGGGGAUCGCAAGACCUCGCGCGAUUAGAGCGGCCGAUGCCUGAUUAGCUAGUUGGUGGGGUAAAAGCCCACCAAGGCGACGAUCAGUAGCUGGUCUGAGAGGACAAUCAGCCAAACUGGGACUGAGACACGGCCCAGACUCCUACGGGAGGCAGCAGUGGGGAAUUUUGGACAAUGGGGGCAACCCUGAUCCAGCAAUGCCGCGUGAGUGAAGAAGGCCUUCGGGUUGUAAAGCUCUUUUGUCAGGGAAGAAACACCGGCUCUAACACAGUCCGGGAAUGACGGUACCUGAAGAAUAAGCACCGGCUAACUACGUGCCAGCCGCCGCCGUAA
rnacentral:rRNA from 1 species